CCUCGCUGAAAUAAUGCACACCAACUGUUUACAUCUGUGUCAUCUAAUCCUCACAACAAUCCCUUGAGAGAAAUAAUACUCCCAUUUCAGAACAAGGACACCGAAGAACAGAAGUGAGGAUCCGGUAAACUGUGAAGAAGGCUGAGCGCUGGAGAAUUGAUGCUUUUGAACCUUGGUGUUGGAGAAGACUCUUGAGAGUCUCUUGGACUGCAAGGAGAUCCAACCAGUCCAUCCUAAAGGAGAUCAGCCCUGGGAUUUCUUUGGAGGGAAUGAUGUUGAAGCUAAAACUCCAGUACUUUGGCCACCUCAUGCGAAGAGUUGACUCAUUGGAAAAGACUCUGAUGCUGGGAGGGAUUAGGGGCAGGAGGAGAAGGGGAUGACAGAGGAUGAGACGGCUGGAUGGCAUCACUGACUCGAUGGACGUGAAUCUGAGUGAACUCCGGGGGUUGGUGACGGACAGGGAGGCCUGACGUGCUUCGAUUCAUGGGGUCGUAGAGUCGGACACGACUGAGUGACUGAACUGAACUGAACUGAACUGAGACUGACCCUCACUGUUACUGUUGCCUUCUUCUUUGGGUUGUGGCAGAAUUGGAGAGCCCAGAAUAUAAGGAAAAGCCAGUGUAUCCAUUACACAAAUGUUGACAUUUUCCUUCUUUUAAAAAUCAGUUUAAACAUUUGUUUUAGGUGGACCACUUUUUUUAAGUCUUUACUAAGUUUCUUACAAUUUUGCUUCUGUUUCCUGUUUUGUGGUUUUGGCCCUGAGGCGUGUGGGAUCUUAGCUCUCCCACCAGGAUCGAACUUACACACUUG
ensembl:lncRNA